GAUCAUGGCUCAGAACGAACGCUGGCGGCAGGCUUAACACAUGCAAGUUGAACGGGAUUUGAUGGUAGCUUGCUAUCAUUAAUGAGAGUAGCGCACUGGUGAGUAACACGUGGGAACAUGCCUUUUGGUGGGGGACAACAGUUGGAAACGACUGCUAAUACCGCAUAAGCCCGGAAGGGGAAAGAUUAAUUGCCGAAAGAUUGGCCCGCGGAAGAUUAGGUAGUUGGUGGGGUAAAGGCCUACCAAGCCGACGAUCUAUAGCUGGUCUGAGAGGACGAACAGCCACAUUGGAACUGAGACACGGUCCAGACUCCUACGGGAGGCAGCAGUGAGGAAUAUUGGGCAAUGGAGGAAACUCUCGACCCAGCCAUGCCGCGUGAGUGAAGAAGGUUUUCGAAUUGUAAAGCUCUUUCGGGUGUGACGAUGAUGACGGUAACACCUAAAGAAGCCCCGGCAAACUUCGUGCCAGCCGCAGC
rnacentral:rRNA from 1 species